AUGACAGUGGGUCCAUGAUCUACUCUUAAAUCCAGGCUGCAAGCUCUAGAUUUUCUUGCAUAUCCUCUAGGCCUGCACCCCAACGUUAAUUUGCCAAUCUCAAAAAUCAUGGUUCCUGAACCAACAAAGCCUAGCCACUCUUCCUCCUCUGACGGUGACAAGCAUAAACAACUUGAUCGAGAGGUCAGAGACAUGGUGAAUGCAAUAACAUCUCGAGUUGGGGAUCUUCACAAAACAGGUGGAUCUCAACAGCUCCAACAGGCGGAGCAGGACGAAAAUGGCGUAAGAAUCAUCACGCUUGCUGGAACAAACACAGGAGCAACAAUGCGAACCGAGUUGGAUGAAAAAGUACCAAAUAAUGCUCCUCAAGGAGGCGUUUCAGCAGGUGAGCCUGACUUAUUGGAUACCUACGUCAACAGCAAUUUCCAAGCUGUGAACAAUUCUAUCAUGCUCGGUAGCAGCUAUAACACCAAUGACCCUGGUGUUCAUUUGGACAUCGCCGAUGUUUUUGACCACCGUGGCCAUAAACCAAAUAAGCAUGCAAAGAAGGGUAAGAAAAAGGACAAGGAAGCCUUGAAAUCUGACCAGCAAACCGAACGUUCUGAUUGAGAUGACAUAUAGUCAUGAAAUGCCGGAGAAAAGCUAGCUAGCGCUGCACGGGGGCCAUCAAGUUUAUAUAUAUAUAUAUACACACACAUAUAAGCGUUGUAGUGGUCUGUGAAGGCUUUCGAUGGACGCCAUUUGCGCUAAAACCGUGGAUGAUGGUUCGAAGCUAUGAGAUCUGAGGGCUUUUUAUCAAAAUUUUCCUUUUUAAUGGAAACCCAUACAUGCAUGUUGCCUGAACAGUUUCUUUGAGGGAAACCCAUGUCUGCAUCUUGCCUGAAACGGUGAAUAUGUUAAACGUGGGCUCAUAUUGGCUUUGAAUGUUUGCUUUCUUUGGUCUGAUGGACUCAAUAUAUUUGCUUUUAAAUGUUCAAUUGGUCGUUUUUGUCUUUUAUAUUGAUUGACACAGAUUUCUAACUAUGAGGUUCCGUCAUCACAAUGAGCACUUGCGUCUUGAGGAAUACUGGCUGUUGGUUGUGGUAGUGGUAAUGUUCUAUUUUGUUCUGUUAUCAGAGAAGAUGUGGAUUGGUUUUUAAUGAAAUUAUAUGUUCCCAAAGUUGCAACAGGUUUGAUCUGAUGGCUUCUAUGGCUUCUUAAAUUUAUUCAAAUUUGCCAUUUUUGGUGGACACAUUAGUAUUCCUGUUUUUUAUUUGAGUAGUGCUUCAGAAUAUUAUAUUUUGCAAUUAAGUUGAUCAACUUUGUUAUAUCUUCUGCAUCAGCUUUUCUUCAUCAGUAUUGUAUUUAAGUGUGUCAAUAAUGUGGCGCAAAAGUUUUUAUGGUGUGCAAUUAGCAUCAAAUAUCACAUAUUCACUGGAAGGAAUGACAUCCUUCAUCUUUUAUGGUCCAAUACAAAAAGAAUGGGUUUUUUUUCCCGGACUUGUAAUCUGACUCUGUUUUGCCAUUUCUAAUCAAAAGCUAACUUUGAGCUUAAUUGAAUCAAGGACAACUUAUUUUUAUGCAGGCCAAGGAGCUCAGCAAUAUUGACUUUAUCUCUGUAUUCAUUGUAUGUCCCUGAUUGAGGCUGAGGUCGAGGUUGGUUUUCCAGAAAGCAUUUUUUGUAAAAGGGCCUUUCUAAAUGCUGUUGAAAAAAAGCUUCUGAAAAAGAAAAAAGCUAUUUAGUUGUUUUGGAAUUCUUAUGAUUAAAAUAUGUCAAAUUUAACUUUAAAUCAAUUUUUAAUGCUAUCUAAUAACAUAUUCAAAGAGAUGCUUUUCUCAACAGCAGCCCUAAUAACAAUGCCAAAUAGAUCCUAAGACAGUUUACCGUGAUAAUCAACUCAACCACGAGCCUUUUUUUAAUUUCUUGAGUGAUGAAAGGAAUUUCUUGUGUGACCAAUGAAGCAGAUAUUGGUUAAAACUUAAAAUGACUUUGGUGAUCCCACAUAAAGAAAGUAAAUCUUGUGAAGCAUAAGUUGCAUUUGACAUGAUAGAAGCUUGUGAUAUUUCAUUUGUGGCAAUUAUGCAGCUACUGAGAUUCUUAGGCAUGUAUAGUACUUGUUAAAAAUGAAUUCAGUUCUUAAAUGUCAUGGCAAUAAUUUGAUCAAGUGAACAUGAAAGAAUUGAGUUUCACCAUCUAGAGACGUUAGAUUAGUUGAUAAUAAAUUUAAUAUUUUAUUUCUAAGUUGUCUUGAGGAAGAUAUGCAUAUGCUUGAAUUUGAAGUUAUUAUGGUGUCAUAUCAAAUCUGUUAUAGCCAUUGGAUCACUCAUGUAUCAAGUAGGAAACUUGGAGUAAUGACCUAGGAGGGGUUUUCAGGGGAGAACAAACAAGGUAAAAAAUUAUACCAAGGUUGAAUUGCCCCAUCUUAUUUCUAGAGUGCUAUUAGGGAUUUAUUCUUUUCAAAAUUAUUGGAGACUCGAACUAUUGCGGGUUCUGAGAUUUUUUAUGUCCCAUGGGAGUGAAAUUUGUGCUAUUGAGAGUUGAUGAAAAAGUUAUUGUACAUAUCUUAAAAUUGACUGUAUAAGCUUGGGAAAGUAAAUAUGUAUUUCUUUGGAUCUCCAAGUUAGAGUUGUGCAAGGGGAAGAAAUAGAAUCUGGUUAGAGCAUUAUGUAGGAGGAUAUCUAGAAGAAUUUUAUAUCCCUCUUUAUUUGCCAUUCUGCAAUAUAACAAGGUUUUGGACUUUUGGCCACUUAUUAAGAAUCUGAGGACUAGACACUUUUUACCCAGAAGUCUAGGGCUUAGAGAAAUUUGUGCAAAUGAAAGUAGUCAAUGCUUCUGAUCUUCUGAAUGCAUUUCAUUUCCUUUAAUUUUUAUGCAUAUAAAGCUGAAAAAAAACACUAAUCCGCUGGGUUCAAGGGGCAAGUUGCUAAAUUGAACAUUAUGUUGUGAAAAUGAUGAUAGUUCACACAUUCAUCCAUUUCUGCUUGAUGUAACUGUCUCUUGUUUGCCUUUGGUCUGAAAUUUCUUGGGUGUUUUUAUUUCUCCCUAAUAUGUCUACUUUUUAAGGCAGAAGCUUUCAAUAACUAUAUUCUACAGAAACUGAAAUGGUUUUUCUUUUUAAAUUCUUUAAAUAGGGUUAUGCAAAAAAUGCUGUAUAAGAAAAGGGAUAGAGUGAGGGGCAGUCAGAUGUUCACUUGGUUUUUUUAAUGUGCUACCAAGCAUUUUGAUUCUCUUUUUUUGGGAUUAACUCUCAUAACAGGUUAUUAGUUCCUAGAACUGGAAAUUUUAAACUAAAUAUCUGCCAGGUGUUGGAACAAAAUAACUGCUCAGGAUACGGAACUUGAAUGCAUGCAUACAGCAUACUUGCAUGAACAGUAUCAUGUGUGUGUUUUCUUUUUGAAUUUGUAUUUAUGCAGCACUUGAAUGCAGAGUUUCCAUGGACCUGUGGCAUCCUAGGAUUCAUCACAUCUCAAUGCUUUGCUGGUGUAAAUGUUGUAGACUAGCUCAGUUCAGCAUUAUGCCCAAAAUACCUUGGUGCAUACAAAGAACUCAUCCCAAUAUUGUCAUUGACUUGAGCGAAAACUUGUGAAAUGUUUACUGGCCAGCAACAAUCACGUAGGAUGUUCACAUGUCAAUUUGAAUCAGUUUUGGUAAAUAAUCUGAUUGAAUCAGCAUAGAAAAGGAAUUCUUGAAAUUGAACUCUGCCAUUGUCCUUCUAAUCAUUAAUAAAAUCAGUUUGAUCCUUGUUCCUAUAUUUUGGUAUUUAAAAUGUUCGUAUCUCCAAACCAAAGCAAACCAGAAGAAUGAAAGAAACUGAACCAAAUGGAAUGGCAAGACCGAUUCAGUCUGUUGGUUUAACAAGGUUCUGACUCGCCAUUUUGACUGAGCAUAUUCCUUGCUGUUUAAACAUUAAGUUUUAUUUCACAGAUUUUAGAUUAUUAAUUGUGCUUCCACAAAGAAGCUUGUUCUCUUAAUGUAAUUGUUUGUUAUUAUUUGCAGCACCCAGUAAGCAGGAAUGACUAUGAUAAUGUGAUUGGGGCUUUGCCGUAUCUGAAAGUAAAUAGACAGGCAAAGUAGAGAUCAUUUCAUGUGAUAUGGGAAGAACUCAUGGGUCAGGGUUCUUGUGUUGCUUCUUGUAUGCAUUAGACAAUUAUUCAUGAUAUCCUUAUUCUUCUAAUCCAGAACUCAGUCAAGCUCUCUGAAAUUUCUAUAUUUGUUGAUCAUGUCGUACACAUACUGCAUGCCCUCUUCUUCCCCUCUACAGCUUGCAAGGAAUUAGCUUGCUUGCUUGAUUUUGAUAGAAAUUUGUAUUUUGUUUUAGAUAAUAAGGCUUGGUGGUUCCAAAAUAUUUUUACUUCAUUUGUCAAAAUUUGAGAAAUUUUCAUUUACUAAAAUAUGGAGAGAAAAUUGUUUUUGCUUUAGGUU
rnacentral:misc_RNA from 1 species